AACGUAGGUGGCAAGCGUUGUCCGGAAUUACUGGGUGUAAAGGGAGCGCAGGCGGAAUGGCAAGUUGAAUGUGAAAUGCAGGGGCUCAACCCCUGAACUGCGUUCAAAACUGCUGUUCUUGAGUGAUGUAGAGGCAAGUGGAAUUCCCGGUGUAGCGGUGGAAUGCGUAGAUAUCGGGAGGAACACCAGUGGCGAAGGCGACUUGCUGGGCAUUUACUGACGCUGAGGCUCGAAAGUGUGGGGAGCAAACAGG
rnacentral:rRNA from 1 species